rnacentral:hammerhead_ribozyme from 1 species
GUCCAGCUGAUGAGUCCCGAAUAGGACGAAACGCGUGCGUCUUGAAU